rnacentral:rRNA from 1 species
AACGAACGCUGGCGGCAGGCUUAACACAUGCAAGUCGAACGCACUCUUCGGAGUGAGUGGCAGACGGGUGAGUAACGCGUGGGAAUCUACCCAGCCCUUCGGAAUAGCUCCGGGAAACUGGAAUUAAUACCGAGUACGCCCUACGGGGGAAAGAUUUAUCGGGGUUGGAUGAGCCCGCGUUGGAUUAGCUAGUUGGUGGGGUAAUGGCCUACCAAGGCGACGAUCCAUAGCUGGUCUGAGAGGAUGAUCAGCCACACUGGGACUGAGACACGGCCCAGACUCCUACGGGAGGCAGCAGUGGGGAAUAUUGGACAAUGGGCGAAAGCCUGAUCCAGCCAU